rnacentral:rRNA from 1 species
GGGGCACCUGAUCCGCAAUGCCGCGUGAGUGAUGAAGGCCUUAGGGUUGUAAAGCUCUUUCGCACGCGACGAUGAUGACGGUAGCGUGAGAAGAAGCCCCGGCUAACUUCGCUGCCAGCAGCCGCGGUAAUACGA